AGAGAGAGACAUGCGCGCAUAUCAAUAAGCGGAGGAAAAGAAACUAACAAGGAUUCCCUUAGUAACGGCGAGUGUAGCGGGAAGAGCUCAAAUUUGAAAUCUUCAAGGUUUUACCUUGACGAAUUGUAGUUUAGAGAAGUGUUUUCUGCUGAAGUUUUGGUAAAAGUUCUUUGGAAUAGGACAUCAUAGAGGGUGAGAAUCCCGUAUUUGACCAUUAUUUUCAGCUUUGUGAUACACUUUCAAAGAGUCGGAUUGUUUGGGAAUGCAGUCCAAAAUGGGUGGUAAAUUUCAUCUAAAGCUAAAUAUUGGCGAGAGACCGAUAGCGAACAAGUACCGUGAGGGAAAGAUGAAAAGAACUUUGAAAAGAGAGUUAAACAGUACGUGAAAUUGUCAAAAGGGAAAGCGUUUGACACCAGUGUUGUUUUCUCGAAAAUCAAUUAAAAAUGGCUCGAUUUUGUAUUGUUGAGACCUUAAAAGCUCACUGUACAUUUUUCGUGUCUUUUUUAAUGCACUUUUCGUUUAACAAGUCAACAUCAGUUUCUUUUGUUGUAAAAGGGUCAUUGGAAGGUGGCUUUCUUUUCGGAGAAAGUGUUUAUAGCCUUUGGCCUCUGCAAUCGGAGAGACUGAGGUCUGCAGCGUAGACUCUUCGGGGUUAGAUACAUUUGUGCUAAGUUAUAGCUUUUUAUAGACAACUUGUUGACUAUAAUUAGUCUUGUAGCUUACUCGCUUAUGCUAUUUUACCUACGCUUAGGAUGUUGAAGAUGUAGCACAUCAU
rnacentral:rRNA from 1 species